ensembl:lncRNA
CUCGAUCCUGGCAAAUGCUGUUCCCCAGACCAACAGGGCCAUUCACAGCUUGCCUGCCCCUAAAUUUUUGUUCAUAUAAUCUUCUCUGCUUAAGACAUCCUGUUCCUCCCUUCUCUACUUACAUGAAUCGCAUCUACCAUGCAAAGUGAAAUUCAAAUAUCACCUUAUUGAAAUUAAAGCUGUCUUGUCCAUGCUGCCAUGAACUGCCUUGUCUCUGCAUCUGUGCGUGUACAUACCGUAAUCUGAAUUUUUCUGUGUUUAAUUUCAUGUGUGCCACCUGCCAAUAAGGAGACGCCAGUUUGAUCCCUGGGUCAGGAAGAUCCCCUGGAGGAGGAUGUGGCAACCUACUCCAGUAUUCUUGCUGGAAAAUCUCCCAGACAGAGGAGCCUGGCGGGCUAUAGUCCAUGGGGUCGCAAAGAGUCAGACACGACUGCACACACAGGCACGAGGCCCUGGUAGAAUGGGAACUCCUUGAGAUCAGCCAGCCAUCUUACUCCAUUUACACACCCCACUGUCUUGCAUGGUGACCCACUUAGAAUAAAUUUAGGCAACAACCUUUCAGAACUGGUUCCCUGAGCACUAGUACCCUGGCCCAGACCACACCUGUGAGAUGCAGUUCCUUUGUUCUCUCAUCCCAAGAUGAAGCGGGUAAGGAAGCUAGUGCUGGUGAGGCCCCAGGCAGAGGAGAGGAGGCCAGACUGUCAGGAGAGAAGGAACAGGUAACCCUGACAUGACAUUGGGGUUGAAAAGCAGGACUUCACUGACUGUGGAUGGAGCAGUAGAAACUGCAGAGGACGGCAGACACCGCUGGCUUUGCAGACCAGGUCUGCUGCUGCUGCUGAGUCGCUUCAGUCACGCCCAACUCCUUGUGACCCUGGACUAUAGCCUGCCAGGCUCCUCUAUCCAUGUCUUCCUUUUCCCUUCUAUCAGAACUUUUUCCUAGAUCAGUUGCAACAUGUUUGGUUUAUUUUUUAUUCAUUAUUUUUGGCUGUAUUAUAUCUUUGCUGCUUUACACAGGCUUUUCUUUAGUUGUAGCAAGUGGGGCCACUCUUUGUUGUGGUGUGUGAGCCUAUUGUGGUGGUUUCUCUUGUUGCAGAGCACAGACUCUGGGUGGGCGGGCUUCAGUAGUUGCAGCACGCAGGCUCAGUAAUUGGGGCUCACAGACCCUAAAGUGAGAGAGUAACAGGCAGGAAGGCCAGGGGUCUCCAAAGGGAAAAAAUAGCCUGCAGGUGUCAGACAUUUUUAUCUCCCUUAAGCGGCAGGAAUAAACAAACUAGCGAUAUUUUUUUUCCUUCUCUAUACGAAUUUAAAAGGAGGUUUCUCUUAAAAUUCUGUG